CGGCUACAGCACGUUGAAAUAUCGGUUCCUGUACGAUCACCAAAGUUAAGCAACCUUGAGCCUGGUCAGUACCUAAAUAUCUGACCCUUUAGGAAUAUCAGGUGCCGUAAG